GGAGGCUUUGGUUUUACUCCUGAUUGGUCUUCCAUUGAUUAUAGUGGCUGUGCGGAAGAGAAAGAAGACUAAAGGUCUGCUGUCGUCCUCCAUCAUAGAGUUUAAUCCAGUGUUAUAUGAACAGAUCAAAGACGCUGGACGUGACUGUAAUCCAGAGGACACAGACACAGAAACAACUGUAGUUUAUAGCUGUGCUUCCUAAACUUGUGCCAUAUGUGUUCCUACAGACCCAAGUACUCCA